UUGGAGGCAUGGGGUCCUUUCUUGAAAAAGAAAAAGACGGGGAUGUAUAAUAUAAAUUACAAGGUCCUAUCAAUUAUUAAUAUGCAUUAUGCAUUAUGCAUGAUUCAUGAAUGUUAUAAUGUGUUCAAAUUGCCACCCAAGAUGGAACCACAAAGUCUUUUGAAAUUAUUAUAAGAUAUAGUAGUGGGAAAAAUAACAAAGACAAACUAUUUUAGUGAGGUCACUUUCAUCACAUUAAAUAAUAAUUAUCUCAAAAUAAAUAUCUUCGAAUUUUUGGAGGAAAAAAAGCAAAAAGUAAUUUGUAUAUUUUUAUUAUGUAAUAUAACUAGUAGUUGCCCCACCCGUGUUGCGGGGCGAUACCCGAAUAAUUCUAAAUCAAUUAAAAAAAUACUACUAUAAUUUUGUUAGGAAAAAAACUAAAACGAUGAUAAGACCGUAAUUUUCUGCUCAUAGCAAAACUUUAUUUUUUCAGGACUAAUGAGCGAGUGUUAUGCAGUUCCUUGACACGUGAAAAAAUUAAAUGGAGUUAACCAAUGAAAACAAAAAACUUUUAUAGUUUUGCUAAAAAAAACUAAAACGAUGGGAAAAACGUAAUUUUUAACUGAGGGCGAAAUUAUAAUUUUAUUUUAGGGAUACAAUCGUAAAUUAAAUGGACCAAUGGGGGAGUGCCAGGCAGCUGCCGGCAUGACUGUAAUUUUACACUGGGGGCAAAAUUGUAAUUUAACCAGGAAAACAAACAAAAACGAUGGGGAAAAUGUAAAUUUAAGUUGAAGGCAAAAUCGUAAUGUAGCUGUGAGAAAAAACGUAAUGGCAAAUCUGUAAAUUUAAACGGGUCAAAAUCGUAAUUUUGAUCCGAUGGCAAAAUUGAAAUUUUUAGCUGGGAGCAAAAGCUUUAAUUUAUUUUUAUGUGGGGGCAAAAACAUAUUUUUAAACUGAUGGUAAAAUCGUAAUUUUAAAGGGAAAUAAAAGCGUAAAUUUGUUGGGUCAAUAGGAGAGUGUCUAGCCACCGAUUUCAACCAAUAAUGGGAGAGCACUAUUGCCGCCCAUGAAAAUUGUUAUGUUGAAAAUUUGAAUAUCUUAAAAAAUAUUUACUAGUAUAGAAACGAUGAGAUGAAAGUAUCGAUAUGUAAAUGUAUAAAACUCUAUUAUCAAUAGAAUUGAGUUGUUGACUCUAAUAGAUAAAACUUUAUAUUAAUCGGAUUAAUGAAGGAAAAAACUUUUAGGUCAAGGAGAAGAAAGGUGAGUGAAGAUAGUAAUAUAUAUAAGACAAUUUUAUGGGUUGUUUGUUUAUCUCUCAAUAGCGCUCUUAAUGGUUCAGAUCUCUUAUUGGUUUAGCACUUAAUGGUUCUGGAUGUUUGUUUCGUGGGCAGAUGUCUAAAUGGUUCAGACAUUUGCAUCUGAAUGGUUAAGUAUUAUACUGAGUCUGAAUGUUAAGACCUCUAAUCUGAAUUGGUCAGGGAUUUGCCUCUGAAAGGUUAAACAUUAUAUUGGCUCUUAAUGAUUCAGACCUCUUACUAAUUCAGCACUUAACCAUUCAAAAAUUGCCAAACAACCCUUAGUUAAUAUUAAACUAACAUACUUCUGAAUAUUUAUAUACUUUGUACUUUGCAAAAUUAAACUCUUUUAAGGGAAGACAUAUCACUACACCAUAACCUCUAGAGUCAUAUGACACAUAUAUUUUAAAUAGAUAAAUCAUGAAAGAAAAAAAAAAGGAACUCGACAACCAGAAGACCAAAUGAGUGGUUUUACACUUUAACAUGACAGAAUGGUGAGCUAUAUAUCCUAAGGGCUUUUUCUAUGUUAAGUCAACAUUAUUUCAUUUUAUGAAUUUUGUAUGUGUUGUCAUUUUUUAUAUCUUUAGAUAUACUUUUAGGAUUUUUUAUAUGAAAAAAUAUCUUAAUAUCUUUGUUUAGUAAUAAUUUUAUCAAUAUGUAUACUUCCAAGAGAAAAAAGUUAUUAAAAAGAAAUCAGGAAAAGUGAUCUCCAAAGAUACUUUUGACGUAAUAACACAAAAUUCACAUAAACAACAACGGGACAAUUGGACAUAUGAAAAACAUGUUAUUUAAAGAAAAUCAUUAAAUAUAACUAUCCCAAUCCAGAUAAAUAACACACCCCAAAACUAUUGAAUAUCAUGUGUUUUUACUAUUUAUUUAGAGAUACAAACAACAACAACACUACUCAGUAAAUCUCACUUAUAGCAAAGUUAUCGCUAGGGUCUGGAAGGGUGAGAUGUAGGCAAGACUUACCUCUAUCCCAAAGGAUAAAGAGGUUGCUUCCAGUUAGACCCCCAAUUCCAACGCCAUAGAUGAAAAGUAAAUACAAAGUGAAAAAACGACUUUAAAAUAUCGUCAUAAUAAGCAAAAAUGUAAAAUAAAAACUAAAUCAAUACUAAAAUACAACAAUAUUUACUUAAUUACACAAAUGGUUUAUGUGGUUUCGUCGUAGUUACAAGUUUAACUUUAAAAGUCGCUAUUUUGAGUUAUGUUAUUUUCAUUUUACAACAAUAAUUAAAAAAAAAAUAUGAUUUUAAUUACGGUGUUGAGAGUGGAAGCCAUGGGAAGAUGGGGGUUGGGUUUUUGUAUAAAGUCAUUCUAUGUGAAAUUAACUGACUUUUCUAGCACAUGUUAG
rnacentral:lncRNA from 1 species